rnacentral:rRNA from 1 species
AGAGUUUGAUCAUGGCUCAGGAUGAACGCUAGCUACAGGCUUAACACAUGCAAGUCGAGGGAACGACAUCGAAAGCUUGCUUUUGAUGGUCGUCGACCGGCGCACGGGUGAGUAACGCGUAUCCAACCUGCCCAUCACUUGGGGAUAACCUUGCGAAAGUAAGACUAAUACCCAAUGACGUCUCUAAAAGACAUCCGAAAGAGAUUAAAGAUUUAUCGGUGAUGGAUGGGGAUGCGUCUGAUUAGCUUGUUGGCGGGGUAACGGCCCACCAAGGCGACGAUCAGUAGGGGUUCUGAGAGGAAGGCCCCCCACAUUGGAACUGAGACACGGUCCAAACUCCUACGGGAGGCAGCA